CCUACGGGUGGCAGCAGUGAGGAAUAUUGGUCAAUGGGCUUACGCCUGAACCAGCCAAGUCGCGUGAGGGAAGACUGCCCUAUGGGUUGUAAACCUCUUUUGUCAGGGAGCAAUUGGCGCUACGUGUAGCGUUAUCGAGAGUACCUGAAGAAAAAGCAUCGGCUAACUCCGUGCCAGCAGCCGCGGUAAUACGGAGGAUGCGAGCGUUAUCCGGAUUUAUUGGGUUUAAAGGGUGCGCAGGCGGGAGAUCAAGUCAGCGGUAAAAUGUCGGGGCUCAACCCCGGCCGGCCGUUGAAACUGGUUUUCUAGAGUUGGAGAGAAGUAUGCGGAAUUCGUGGUGUAGCGGUGAAAUGCAUAGAUAUCACGAAGAACUCCGAUUGCGAAGGCAGCAUACCGGCUCCAUACUGACGCUGAGGCACGAAAGCGUGGGGAUCGAACAGGAUUAGAUACCCGUGUAGUC
rnacentral:rRNA from 1 species